rnacentral:lncRNA from 1 species
AAAAAGAAUUUAAAAAGUUACUGUGGAUGCAGAGAAGCGCAUGGAUUAGUGGGGCAAAUGUGGGUUUGGAGUGACCAGGAAGAAUGCCACUGUGGCCAAUAAGAUGGCGAGGGCACGGUGGUCUUCUACAGGUCAGGGCGGUAGGGUGGCAGGAGACACGUGGGUAGAUUCAGAAGACGUUUAGGAGUUGGACCCUGAGACUUUUGAGAAACGGGGGGUGAGGAAGUGAAGGUGGCCGCGGUGGCAGGAGCAGCCAGGAGGAUGGAGCCUCCCUUCACUGAGGUCGUUGUCAUUAUCAAGUCCUACACUUUGAGAGCAGAAAACGACCCCGUACGUGGUGGGUCUCCGACAUCUGUUUAUUACGUUGGACCGCAUGCUGCAUAUGAUCCAGCCACCUCGCUCUACUCCUGUGGCUGCCCUUCGUCCUCGUCGCCGGGACCCCUCUCCCUGCCUCCCAGACGACCUGUGCCUUACCCCUUCCUGUCUCUUAUAUUCUCAUAAAUUUGCUGC